rnacentral:piRNA from 1 species
UUCAAGCACUUCAGGGUCGAUCUACAGGGA